AGACGCAUGAAGGACUGGUCGAACGCUUUCAGGAAAGAGUUGAGCCGCAUGCCGUGAAAGCUCCUCAAAAUACCUCCGAGUGGUUUUAGAGAGAGAGACAGAGAUCAUCUGAAUCUGACACUAGCAGUCAGUGGCGAGCCAACUGCAGAAUCGACAAAAGGACCAAGAGCCUGGUGUGGCCAGCCGUGGCGUUUUGGAAUCGUCAUCAUCCUACUACUUCAUUUGAAACACAGAUAAGAACACACAUAAGAACAAGUCUACCCAGGUAGUGAAGGAACACAUUUUACUGAACACACACACCAAGAACUCUCAAGAAUUCCGGAAAGAGCAGCUUUAUUUCCUUUAACUUUGAAUGAAAUCUCAUAAAGGGACACUUUUUGUUGCGAUUAUUUAU